rnacentral:rRNA from 1 species
UACAGAGGGGGCAAGCGUUGUUCGGAAUUACUGGGCGUAAAGGGCGCGUAGGCGGGAUGGCAAGUCGGUCGUGAAAUCCUUCGGCUCAACCGAAGAACGUCGGCUGAUACUGCCGUUCUUGAGGGAUGCAGAGGAGAUUGGAAUUCCCGGUGUAGCGGUGAAAUGUGUAGAGAUCGGGAGGAACACCGGUGGCGAAGGCAGGUCUCUGGGCAUUUACUGACACUGAUGCGCGACAGCGUGGGGAGCAAACAGG